CUGAUAGAGGUGCGGUAAUGCGUGUAAUGGAGAGGAAACUGCCAAAGUUUAUGAUACUCUGUGAAUAGCCUUGCCGCCGAAAGGCAGACUCCGGCAAAGUUUGCUUUGGUUGCCUGCCGCAGAAGGCUUGUGACUGUCAUCAUAUUCUGUGAUGGAGAGCUAUCGU
rnacentral:ncRNA from 1 species